GUGCGUUCGUGUCUUUUGAACAGCCGAGCGAGCCGCCACCGCAACUACUGGAGGAACCAGAAUGUCGCGCACGAGAAGUUUUCCCUCUUUUUUGGACCCCAGAUGAAGCAGCUAUACAAGCCGCUUCACGUCGUAGAUCAAGAACUCUACAGAAAGCACGGGCGACUAUUCGGGUCUUUUGAAGAUGGAAAACCGGUGCUGUACGUCGCGGAACCGGACCUGCUGAAGUUGAUUCUGGUAAAGGAUGCCGGAUUGACUCAGAGAAAG